GAGCAAGUCAAGGGGACCCUCCCCUCCCGCUCCUCCCACACUGCACAGCGGGUUCCAGCCAGGGCAGUGAGGCAAGAACAUGGAACUCAAAUCACCGAGAUUAGCAAAAAAGAUGUAGAAGUACGCCUCACGCCGUAGGUGGAAUCGCCUAAGGAAUCUACAAAGAUAAAAUAAAAUGAAGUAAAACCUGAUAAGAUGAUCGAAGGAGUUUAACAAGAUCAUGGGGCGUAGGAUAUUUCUGCACUGACAGUGAACACCCCAAGAUGAAAUGCAGAAAGCGUCCUGGUCAAAUAGCAUCAGAAAGAAUAAGCUACUUAGGAAUAAUUUCGCAAAGGAAGUGUGAGACUUGUACGCUGCAAACUGCGAAACAUGGCUGGUAAAAAGACCCAAAGAAAACCUGAACAGAUGGAGAGACUUCCCACAUCGAGGCUGAAAGGCUGAACCCUGCGCAGACGGCGGGGCUCCCGCGGUGCUCCGUGUGGCCUUCAUCCCCCUCUGGCCGUGUUCCCUCCCCGGCUCAGAGCCACUCCUCCUAGUUACCACCCUCGGCCCUCCCUCUGCAAGCCCAGGAUGCCCGGGCCACAGGCCGGUGAGCUGGGGAUCCAGCCUCUCCUGGCGUUUUACCCACGUAGGUGACAACUGACGGCACUGGAGCAGAGAGGCUGACUGCCCGAGGAGACCAGGGAGGCUUGGACCCCAGGCUGGAGGGGGCCGGGGACCCAGACCCACUCACUUGAUUUGGAAGGACACAGGGCUGUCAAACCUAUGCAGGGUCAUCACACCCGGCCCUUCGUUUGUCCCUUUUCGGCCAAGCUCAGGACCCUGUAACCCAGGAAGACAAGCUCGUGGUUCUGAGAUGACCCAGGGAAUUGGCCAAUCCCACCCGAAACCCUUGUUCCUUCCUCUGGUCAUUGACGUUCCUCCCAGACGGCUUCGAGAGCCCCGCAGAUCCUUCCACUACUCCCCAGCCUAGAAGAUCCAGGGACAGAAGCCCUCGAGGUUCUGGCUGGGCCCACGUGCUGAGAUGCCUCUGAGAAAGCUGUCUUUCCAUGGUGGAUCCCGCUGGAUGCCCGUGAACACGGGGCCAGCUUGCAGAGAGCUGGAAGGAGGCCUCCUGGCGGCACCCAGGCCUGACACAGGAUGGCACAGCAGAUGCAACCGUGGGCCUGGGGCCUGGGGUUCCUGGUUGGUGGCCAGGAGAGGCGGCCAGAAGACUCCAUGGCUCCCAGGGCCCAGUCGCAGCUGAGAGGCUCCCCGUCACGAUGGCCAAUAGCCCUUUCUCCAAGGACAAGGAUGGGAUUUCAUUUCUGAUUGCGGAAUUUUACUCUCAAACCAAAAGAUGCUACAUGCCGCUCCUGACGCCGUGGCACGGAAUCACGCUGCGCGUCCCUUGUUUCCGGAUUUCUCUUCUGUGGCUUAUUGAUGGCACUCAAGCACCGCACAGCAAUGACGUCUGUCCUGGCAGGGCACACGCACUCUGCGUCUGAAUGAGUAUUGAGCUAAUUCCAAAGCCCAGCAGAGACGUGGGCGCGCGUUUAUCUGGAGGAGACCAGGCGCGCCAUGGUUGGCUCUGGCCGCGGGACCCUGGGCUGAGCACCGACCCAGGCCACCCCAAGUCACCAAAAGAGGGUAGGGAGGGGUGGACAAAAGUAUUUAUUUUGCCUAUUUUCUUGCCAGUGUCCAGAUUCAAAUGUACUGUUUUUAAACUACAUUAGCACUUUCUGCCCUGUGGCCUGCAAUGAUUGUGCUGUGAUUAUUCAACACCAUAAAUAAUAAUGCAGCAUUUCACC
rnacentral:lncRNA from 1 species